CCCAGAAUGCUGAAGCCACCCGCUUUUUGCAAUACAAAAUGUGAGGAAAGAGAUUCGUGAAGCCAUCAAAGGUUACAAAGGAUAUACAUACUGAUCGUGGUGUCUGUGGCUCAGUGGUAUUUCGCGUUCAAUCGCUUACAAUUGGUCUCGACCCAACAUGAAAAUCGGUGUUAGGAUCAUUCACGCAAGUUCCUAUUACCGAAACGUUCCUGUUUCUCGCAAAGGUUUUUCCCUUUUUACUGUUAUGCAUGUUUGUUUCAUUGAUAUUUGCUUCUAUUUGGAAGGUUUUAAUUUGAUUUGUUGUUAUGCAUGUUUUCUUCUUAAUAAUAGUUAUUUUUUCUUACU